rnacentral:lncRNA from 1 species
CAGAGUUACGCAGUUAAUUAAUGACUACUUCAGUGAGUCAUUACUGUCCAGAAGAGCAUCAGUCUGCGGAUCCGGUUGCUGGUUCAAUUACCAGCCAUAACAGAAGAUUAGUGCGUCUUUGGCAAACCGCGUAACCCCACCUUACCUCCGCUGCGCUCAUCUCUGUGUGAAGGAGACCGUGUUUUGGAUCAAAGCCUCCGCUGCCUAAAUGGAAGUGGGAUGAGGAACAUCACACAUGAAUAGUUUGCUUGUGCAGCUUUGAUAAUUCCCGCAGACAGCGGAGGGAAUCCCUCGCCUCGUCAAAAGUUGUAAAAACUCAGAGGAGGGCGCGCGGUGUCCAGCUGCGGGUGCCUGGAUGGGGAGGAGGUGCUGCUUCAGUUUGGGGACCAGAUGUGUGAGAGAAGAGGGGUACAGCGUUGCAGACAGCGGCGGCACGGUCCAAAACACUUCUUCAAACCCAAACCGGGAUGUGACAGCUCAGACUCGGGCGAAUCCGGCUGGUUCGAUCGUCUGUGUGUACUACACUUCUGAGGAGAUUGGACCAUUAUCCCUUUACAUGUGGAAAUGCGUCUUACCAAGUGCCAACAUCACAUCGCAACAUGUCAUUGUAAAGCCUUUUACACAUGAACAAAAUACUUCUAAGCACAGGAAAAGCUUUUGUGUGAAAAUUAGGUUACAGCGACUAAACACAAUAUAAACUC